rnacentral:rRNA from 1 species
CCUCGCCUAUCCCCCAAUGACGAUCCCCAAUUUCAGGCGUCGCCCAUCGCUGGGUGCUUCUCCGCCAUCGCCCGUGUAACCCCACCCAAUCCCUCGCUCGCUCGCCGGGAUCCAAGGUGGCCGCAGCGGCCGGGAGCAGACGCGCGCGGGAGGAGUAGUUCGGGUCCGCGCCGCUGCCCUUUGCCUCUGCCACCAACGCCGCCUGCGCCGCCGCCCUUUGCCACCGCCACCACCGCCGUCCGCGCCACCGCCCUUUGCCGUCGCCACCACCGCCGUCCCCUCCGCCGCCACCACCACCGUCCAAACCGCUCUCGGCCGUUGCCGGGGAUCCCGGCCGCGCAGCAAAUCCAGCGCAAAGGAUCUCAAGGCCUGCCGCCCUGCCCGGUGCACCCAUCCAUAGGCACAUGUUCUCCAUAGUUCCAUUGGAUCCCUUGCCGCCUCUCCUCUUUCCCUCGCUGGAGAAGCCUUUUUCAUCGUGGCUUGCCCUGGAUGCUAGAUUCUGCAAUUCCUCACCUGCAGUAUGGAAGUGCAUCUGCACCUGGGGCGCUAGCUGCUGAUGGCCAUAGAUAACAGCAACGUGUACGAGCGGAAGGCUUUUUCCUGAAGGGAUUGAGAUUACCAGGAUUCAGAUUGGAUCCCUGCUGUGUCAGUGCAGGAGAACUGCUCGAACACGUAGGCAUGACAUGGCCGAUGCUGAUUACACCUGGACUGCUUUGACAUAAAAGAUUCCCGGGCCCCUUGACUGAAAUCCUGACUAAAUUGCAAGUUUCCCUUCUUGAAAUUACUGCAUCUGAAGCUUCCAAUCUCACCAACUUCGCUGGAGCACCGUGCGCCCGUGCUCGAGCAGAGGUACCAAUUUUCAGUACUGUUUUUAGAGGCUUCUACGUGAAUCCCAUGCAUGGCUUUGUGGCAUGCAAGACUUUCCUGCUAGACAAGCAAGAAAACAGAGCCAUCACGCUUGCCCUACUGUAGCAGCCUUCAAAGCACCACAGAACCUGGGCUCUCUCAAUGUCAGUUCAUUAGCUGAGCUGAUCUCACAUGCUAACGCCAUGUAAUCUUUUUUCUACAUUCCACAUUUAUGAGUUGGAUUAUAUCGUAGAUUGCAGUUCAGAUCAUUAUCAUGUAUGUUGCUCCUUUGAAAGUUAGACUUCAUAAAGAAGCAAUUUGAUCCGACCACAAUACCUCUGAAUAGAUGCAUCAUGGAUUUGUGGGUUCACCUUCUUAGAAGGUGCAAUUCUGGUGAUGGUGUCAUAAUUGAUAAAUAUAUACAUUGCUUCAUAUGUUGGAUAGUUUUGGCGGCCUUCUUUGUGAGGUACACUUGACUGAUGAGGGCUUAAAAGGGGCCUUGGUUGUCUGUCAACUGAAAACUCUGUUUGUGCACAACCUAUAUCCUCUAUGAGAAGGAACUGGAUGGAGCAAGGUCUAAAUGCCUCAAAUUGCUUAAAGAUAUUCUAUGCUCGGCAAGGAGAUGGAGAGCGAGAAGUAUGGCAGGGUCCUUGAGUGGUAUUCGCUAAAGAAAUACUUGGAGAUCAAAAUCAUUAGAGAGUGAGGCUGCACUCUUAGUGGCAGGCAGAAACAAAGGAUUUAGAUAGCCCGAGCAUUGUAUCAGUAUGCUGACAACUAUUUGUUCCAUGAUCCGUUCAACGCAAUUGAUGCUCAUACAGGAUCCCAAUUUUCCAAGAUCGAUGGUUUCACCGCGGUCGUCGGGAGAAAUAUCAUCAAUGGUAGGGGAAAAGCAGGUAGGCUGAGGCGGGCAACCACACCAAGCGGCCGACCCAAGAAGGCAGCCCUGCAGCUCCGCCUUGUGCCACUCCCCAUCUCUAUGUUUGUGUCAGACCCAGCGCAAGGUAGAGGCAGAAGAGGAGGCCGGGAAGAGAAGCUGCAAGGUAGGAGGCUUUUGAUCUGAAGGCAAGAGUUGGACGAUCUGCUCACAAAGACACACCUUUAUUCUGAAUUUCUACUUGAAAAGAUUGAUCAGUAGCUGAAGUGGAAGAAGAAGAUGAACCUGUAGAAGAGCUGAAAAAAGGACGUGAUAGAAAGAAGGAAGCGAAGCCUAAACAGUAUAAUGAUUACUACCUCGCCCAGCCGCACAUCCAAGAUGCGACACUUGCUGGAAAGCUGGUCAAGUAGGCCCUCGACUGCGAGUUUUAGCAGAUUGAUCCUGCACAUUAGCCUAAUUGUUACAAUAAACGGACUUACAACAAUGAUGCUUUCUAUAUUGAAUUUUUAUGUUCGACCUCACCAUUGCUUAGUUUCCUUUCCUGAUGUCAAGACACAAAGAAUUUGAGAUUCAAUUUAUCUUUUUUAGUUUUUCAACUAGAGUGCUUCAUUUAUAUGUAUUACUGUAGACACAUGGGAAUCCUCAAGGUGUCAGGCUUGUUCUUAUUAUUGCUCAUGCAACCCUAAACUUCAGUUAAAUGUACUACGUCAGGUUUUAGUGUUUGGAUCAUCAGUACAAAACAGAGUUGAUGGUAUAUGUCAAUUCUGUAUUGGUUCUAGGCAAGUAGGUUGACAUGUUCAUCUGCUAUCAUGAGUGUCGUGUUUACACUUGCAGUUCAGAUAUUAAGCUUAAGCUAAAGAUCUCACUGUACUGUCUAGAGGUGGAACCGGGGAAUGUUGACGCUUUAUUGGUUUUGGUCACAAAAAUGUUAGCUAUACAUUCUUUCAUCUUGAUUAUAUGGACUUCUCAAGUAAUACUACUUCUCAGUUAAUUCAUUGAAGUAAUGAUACAAUCAAUUGGAUAUUUUUCUACGAUUAUGGAUCUAGAGGAAAAAAUGUUGUUUUCACAUCAUUGUUUUAAUCCAAUGUUCAGCUUUAUUGCUAUAAGCUUUACUGCUUUAGACAUUUUCGUAGGAAAUGCUGAACAUUCGUAUCAAUUGAAUCAAUGUGGCCUUACAUGUAGUGCCGUUACUGUUAAAUUUGUAGAUAUCCUAUUUUAUUCAGCAGUAACUUUAUUUUCUUUUCACUUCUUUUUUAUAAAUGUCAUGCUCAAUAGGUAAUGUCACAGCAGCUGAAUUUCUUCAUAACUGGCAUAGGCAGUUAUCUUCUUAUGUGCUGCUAUUUCUAGAGGUAACCCCUAAUCAAAUAAAAUUUUGGCAUCUGAUUCAUCACACAGUAUUUUUGCUUGGCGGAAUAAACUUCUAAGAUGACUUUCUAUACUUUGUUAGGUGAAUGGUAUGUAUAGCAUGCAUGUACCAUCAAAUACAUCUAGCCUGCCCGUAAGUGCAGUAAGAAAUAAUGAUAUGAUGAGCUAGGGUGAGAAUUUCAAAGUGUUGAAGACAGAAUCAGGCUUUUAUUUUCUUGAAUUAUUUGAAGUGGAUCAUAUAUGUAAAACUUCAAAUAAUUUCUGAACCCACUAGAUGUUGCAGCGUAGAACUACUACUUCUUCAACUUGAAAAGGGUCCAUGAUUUUUUCAUAGCUGCGUUGUUAGCUUAUCUAUUGAUUGUGGUUUUCUUCUUGGUAAUCAUAACUAAGUUUUCGCUUUACUGUAAACUGCACAUAUGCAAUUGUGAAGGGCAUUCAGUUUUUUCUUCAGAAGCAAAGAUAGUAAGCUUCUCUUAUUCCCAGGAAAGCUCUCUACUUUAUUUCGACUGUAGAGUAGAGGGGCAAAGACAAUUUAUGAGCAGAAUGGUAGUGAAGAGAGGAGCUGCACAGUGGCUUCUCGUCGUGACAACUAUUUUCUUAACCUUUUUUUACCUCUACUGUUUUGCAAUAGUUGACUUGAUGUUUUGCUUUGGCUGCUUUGCUAUGUACAAUGGGUGGUUGUAGCUGCUGCUUGUAGCAUUGUAUGGUUGAUGUGUUUUGUCUUUGAUGCAAUCCAAAUUUUGGCAGCAAUUGUUUUGAAGACACGGGAGAAGACUUGGGGCGACGUAGUAGUGUGUGGGGCGGGCGGAGCGUCGGGAAAGGCCACAGCAACACCCGCGCUUCAAUCAAUUACGAUGGCCUCUGAUCGAACCAUACUAAGCAAGUGUAAAGGAAUUGACAAAGUGCAAAAUUGUUCAAAGAAAUAUGACUUGGGGCGACGUAGCAGUGUGUGGGGCGGGCGGAGCGCCGGGAAAGGCCACAACAACACCUAUGUCAAUCGAUUACGGUGGCCUCUGACCGAACCAUACUAAGCCAGUGUAAUGGAAUCGACAAAGUGCAAAAGUGUUCAAAGAAAUAUGGCGGGUGGUCCCACAUCUCAAAAUAGAGGGAGAACUCAGUUGUGCCAUUUUAUCCAACUAUAUAUCAAACAUGUGCCUUUUUUGUCAAAGACAAAGAAAAGUGUACUAUGAAAGGAAAUAUGUGCCAUUUUUAUCAAAUGCCCUAUCCCACCCCCACCCAUGUGUUUCUCCCAAGUCAUCUGCCCUUCCCAUGCUGCCUUUGCCUCCUUCCUGCAUCACCAGAUCAUCAUCGAUGUCGGCCGCACCCGCACCAUUGUCCCAUCCACUUCUUCAUCCUCGUAUCCUACUCCCUGCAAGUGUCCAAGCAAUGGCCAACGAUGACCCGAGCUAUUUUUCUAUCUCCCGUUGCAAUGCACGGGCAUUUUUGCUAGUAAUCCCCUAA